AUACGGAGGGUCCAAGCGUUAUCCGGAUUCAUUGGGUUUAAAGGGUCCGCAGGCGGGAAAAUAAGUCAGUGGUGAAAGCCUACAGCUCAACUGUAGAACUGCCAUUGAUACUGUUUUUCUUGAGUAUAGAUGAAGUGGGCGGAAUAUAUCAUGUAGCGGUGAAAUGCAUAGAUAUGAUAUAGAACACCGAUUGCGAAGGCAGCUCACUAAACUAUUACUGACGCUCAGGGACGAAAGCGUGGGGAGCAAACAGGAUUAGAUACCCUAGUAGUCC
rnacentral:rRNA from 1 species